rnacentral:rRNA from 1 species
UACGAAGGGGGCUAGCGUUGUUCGGAAUUACUGGGCGUAAAGCGCACGUAGGCGGAUAUUUAAGUCGGGGGUGAAAUCCUGGAGCUCAACUCCAGAACUGCCUUCGAUACUGGCGAUCUUGAGUCCGGAAGAGGUGAGUGGAACUCCUAGUGUAGAGGUGGAAUUCGUAGAUAUUAGGAAGAACACCAGUGGCGAAGGCGGCUCACUGGUCCGGUACUGACGCUGAGGUGCGAAAGCGUGGGGAGCAAACAGG